GGUAGCGUGGGCGAGCCGGUCUAAUAGGCGCUGGUUUAAGGCACCAGUCAUUUCGAUGGCGUGGGUUCGAAUCCCACCGCUGCCA
rnacentral:tRNA from 1 species